rnacentral:rRNA from 1 species
AUUGAACGCUGGCGGCAGGCCUAACACAUGCAAGUCGAGCGGUAGCAGGAAGUGCUUGCACUUCGCUGACGAGCGGCGGACGGGUGCGUAACACGUAGGAAUCUGCCUGGUAGUGGGGGAUAGCCCGGAGAAAUCCGGAUUAAUACCGCAUACGCCCUACGGGGAAGGAGGGAGUCUUCGGACCUUUCGCUAUCAGAUGAGCCUGCGUCGGAUUAGCUUGUUGGUGGGGUAAAGGCCUACCAAGGCGACGAUCCGUAGCUGGUCUGAGAGGAUGAUCAGCCACACUGGGACUGAGACACGGCCCAGACUCCUACGGGAGGCAGCAGUGGGGAAUAUUGCACAAUGGGCGAAAAGCCUGAUGCAGCCAUGCCGCGUGUGUGAAGAAGGCUC